AAGUCGGAAUUGCUAGUAAUCGCAGAUCAGCAUGCUGUGGUGAAUACGUUCCCGGGCCUUGUACACACCGCCCGUCACACCAUGAGAGUCGGGAACACCCGAAGUCCGUAGUCUAACCGCAAGGGGGGCGCGGCCGAAGGUGGGUCCGGUAAUUGGGGUGAAGUCGUAACAAGGUAAC
rnacentral:rRNA from 1 species